rnacentral:rRNA from 1 species
UGAGGAAUAUUGCACAAUGGGCGCAAGCCUGAUGCAGCGACGCCGCGUGAGUGAUGAAGGCCUUCGGGUCGUAAAGCUCUUUUCUAGGUGACGAGAAUGGACGGUAGCCUAGGAAUAAGUGUCGGCUAACUACGUGCCAGCAGCCGCGGUAAAACGUAGGACACAAACGUUAUCCGGAGUUACUGGGCGUAAAGGGCGUGUAGGCGGGUCGGUAAGUCUACUCUGAAAGCUUCUGGCUAAACUGGAAGAGGCGAGUGGAGACUGUCGGUCUAGAGUGAGGAAGAGGAAAGUGGAAUUCCGCGUGUAGUGGUGAAAUGCGUAGAGAUGCGGAGGAACACCAGUGGCGAAAGCGGCUUUCUGGUCCUUAACUGACGCUGAGGCGCGAAAGCAUGGGGAGCGA